UGUCUAUGGCGAGAUGACCAUACC
rnacentral:sRNA from 1 species